rnacentral:rRNA from 1 species
GACGAACGCUGGCGGCUUGCUUAACACAUGCAAGUCGAACGGAAAGGCCCUGCUUUUGUGGGGUGCUCGAGUGGCGAACGGGUGAGUAACACGUGAGUAACCUGCCCUUGACUUUGGGAUAACUUCAGGAAACUGGGGCUAAUACCGGAUAGGAGCUCCUGCUGCAUGGUGGGGUUUGGAAAGUUUCGGCGGUUGGGGAUGGACUCGCGGCUUAUCAGCUUGUUGGUGGGGUAGUGGCUUACCAAGGCUUUGACGGGUAGCCGGCCUGAGAGGGUGACCGGACACAUUGGGACUGAGAGACGGCCCAGACUCCUACGGGAGGCAGCAGGGGGGAAUAUUGCACAAUGGGCGGAAGCCUGAUGCAGCAACGCCGCGUGCGGGAUGACGGCCUUCGGGUUGUAAACCGCUUUCGCCUGUGACGAAGCGUGAGUGACGGUAAUGGGUAAAGAAGCACCGGCUAACUACGUG